rnacentral:rRNA from 1 species
UCAUUUAAAGAGUGCGUAAUAGCUCACUAGUCGAGAGAUCCUGCGCCGAAAAUGUACCGGGGCUAAACUUACCACCGAAGCUACGGGCUUGCAUUAGCAAGCGGUAGGGGAGCGUCGUAAUCGGGCUGAAGUCGUACCGUAAGGAGCGGUGGACUGAUUACGAGUGAGAAUGUUGGCAUUAGUAGCGAGAUGUAGGUGAGAAUCCUACAGGCCGAAUAUCUAAGGUUUCCUCAGGAAGGCUCGUCCGCUGAGGGUUAGUCGGGACCUAAGCCGAGGCCGAAAGGCGUAGGCGAUGGACAAUCGGUUGAUAUUCCGAUACCACUACCAUCGUUAUUAUCGAGGGUGUGACGGAGAAGGAUAGUGUGUGCUAGCGAUUGGAAAUGCUAGUCUAAGCGUUUAGGCAGUUACGGUAGGCAAAUCCGCUGUAAUAAUGCUGAGGCGUGAUGGGGAAGGUCAAUUUGACCGAAGUACAUGAUUCCAUGCUUCCAAGAAAAGCAUCUAGAGAGAGAAGUAGUGCCCGUACCGCAAACCGACACAGGUAGAUGAGGAGAGAAUCCUAAGGCCGGCGGAAGAAUUGCAGUUAAGGAACUAGGCAAAUUGACCCCGUAAGUUCGCGAGAAGGGGUGCCUGCGAGAGCAGGCCGCAGAGAAUAGGCCCAAGCAACUGUUUAGCAAAAACACAGGUCUCUGCUAAAGCGCAAGCUGAUGUAUAGGGGCUGACGCCUGCCCGGUGCUGGAAGGUUAAGGGGAACACUUAGCGCAAGCGAAGGUGUGAACUUAAGCCCCAGUAAACGGCGGCCGUAACUAUAACGGUCCUAAGGUAGCGAAAUUCCUUGUCAGGUAAGUUCUGACCCGCACGAAUGGCGUAAUGACUUGGGCACUGUCUCAACUGCAAAUCCGGCGAAGUUGUAGUGCGAGUGAAGAUGCUCGCUACCCGCGAUUGGACGGAAAGACCCCGUAGAGCUUUACUGUAGCUUAGCAUUGAAUUCCGGUAUUGUCUGUACAGGAUAGGUGGGAGACUGGGAAACUAGGGCGUCAGCCUUAGUGGAGUCACCCUUGGGAUACCACCCUGACAGUACUGGGGUUCUAACAGGACGCCAUGAAUCUGGUGACUGGACAUUGUUAGGUGGGCAGUUUGACUGGGGCGGUCGCCUCCUAAAAAGUAACGGAGGCGCCCAAAGGUUCCCUCAGAACGGUCGGAAAUCGUUCGUAGAGUGCAAAGGCAGAAGGGAGCCUGACUGCGAGACCUACAAGUCGAGCAGGGAC